GGGCUUGCGUCUGAUUAGUUAGUUGGUGGGGUAAUAGCCUACCAAGGCGAUGAUCGGUAGCUGGUCUGAGAGGAUGGUCAGCCAGAUGGGGACUGAGAUACGGCCCCAACUCCUACGGGAGGCAGCAGCAAGGAAUUUUGGGCAAUGGGCGAAAGCCUGACCCAGCGACACCGCGUGAGGGAAGAAGGCCUUCGGGUUGUAAACCUCUUUUCUUGGGGAAGUGACGGUACCCAAGGAAUAAGUCUCGGCUAACUACGUGCCAGCAGCCGCGGUAAUACGUGGGAGGCGAACGUUAUCCGGAUUUACUGGGCGUAAAGGGGGUGUAGGCGGCCUUUUAAGUCAGGUGUGAAAUUUUUCGACUUAAUCGGAAAGGGUCAUCUGAUACUGGAAGGCUUGAGGGCGGCAGAAGGAAAUGGAAUUCCCGGUGUAGCGGUGAAAUGCGUAGAU
rnacentral:rRNA from 1 species